GCCAAAUUUUUGGCUCCAACAUAAAAAAUUUCUAAGUCUCUUUUCCCUAUUUUUGGUUCCAACAUAAAAGAUUUCUAAGUCUCUUUUCCCUACUGUUCGACAAUUUGCCUUUUCCUCUUGUCACUCUUUUCGUCUUCCCCUUUUCAUUUGUUACCCUUUCGUUCUCUCUUCCUCCAUUUGCCCAGAAAAUCUCUCUUCAAAAUCCCACUUUGUGUGAAACACAAAACAAAUCUCACUUUGUAAUCUCACCUCUCUUCGCAAUUUUCUCGGCCAUAGUCCUCUUCCAGCGUAAAGUUGUUGUUUUUAGGGUUUUUGUUUCAAUGGGAGUUUCUAUGGAUUCAAUUACGUUAGGUUCUGCUUUUGAUGGGUUCAAUUUCGUCAGAGUUUUGCUUCAAAUUGAGUUUUCUAACUAUUUAAUGUUUUAUUUAAUUUUAGGUUUCCGAUUUAGAGUUUUCGAUGGGUUCAAUUUUGUUAGGAUUUUGCUUCAAAUAGAGGUUUCAAAAGAUUUAAGAUUCUAUUUCAAUUUGGAUUUUCGAUUUAGUGUUUUCGACUUCGUAUUCACAUUGAACAUGUUUGUUUAUGUUGUGUGAAUCUAUGAUGUCUACUUUUCAGACAUUUGAGUUUAUCUAAUUGAUUGUUUACGCAGAUCGAUUUAAGACAGACAAAGAAUUAUCAGUUAGUAAUUGGCAUAGUGAUUUUAUAGUUUAUUUGUUAUUUGAGUGUCUGAUUGAUGAUGAACUAAUUAUCACAUUUGAAUAUAAAAUUGGUGGUUGAGCUGUGGUGUUAUUUUUCUAACAUGGACAAGGGUUGGGCUUGGCUUCCAAGGGCUAGCCUUGAGUAUGGGGAAGGAGCUAGUAAUUUUGUCUAUUCAUCAGCAAAGAGAUUGGGUGAUUUUGUUGACAUGUUAUGUCCCUGCAUUGACUGUCAUAAUGUCUGCCAUGAACGAAUAGACACAAUAUUAGAUCAUUUAGUGAUUAGAGGGAUGGAUCAGAAGUAUAAGAAUGAAUACAUGUUGGAGUAAACAUGGAGACAUUAGGGAUCAGAAGACAGCUGAUGUUCAGACAUCUGAAUUUGAGGCUUAUAACUUGAUUUGGACUGCAUUCUUUGCAAGUGGAGUAAAUAUGCAGUGUCAGGGAGACGAUGGAGAUCAUCAGGAUGAGGUUGAAAGUAAAGCUGAAUGUGAAUUUAGGGAGAAGUUGAAGGAUGUUGAAAGUCCACUCUACUCGACAUGUCCUAACUAUACUAAGGUGCCUGCAAUCAUGGCUCUCUACCGCAUUAAAGGUAAAAGUGGUUUAUCAGAAAACUAUCUUGACCAGUUCAUGAGUGUAAUUCAUGACAUGCUACCUGUGGAUAAUGUCCUACCAAAAUCCACAUACGAGAUGAAGAAGUUCUUCAAGAUUUUUGGUUUUGGUUACUAUUGAAUUCACAUAUGCAAGAAUGAUUGCAUCCUUUAUCGGAAACAGUAUGCAGAUUUAGUAAGCCAGUGAUGUUAGUCUACUAUAACAUACCUCCGACUAUGUCUAUGAAGGCUGAGAAUAUCAUGUUGACAAUGUUGAUUCCUGGACCAACUGCACCAAGCAAUAACAUUGAUGUUUAUCUUGCACCUCUGAUAGAUUAUCAAAAUGAUUUGUAAGAAGAUGGUAUUGAGGUUUAUGACUCAUUCAUGAAGGAGACUUUCACACUUAGAGCUAUACUAUUAUGGAGUAUUAGUGACUAUCCAGCUUUAGGAACACUAUCUGGAGGUAAAGGGAAAGGGAAACAAGGUUGUAAUGUAUGUGGCAAUGACACCACAUAGAUGGUUGAAGUAUAGUCGAAAGCAUGUUUAUUUAGGCAACAUGAAGUGUCUCAGGCCUGGACAUCCUUAUAGACAAAAAAGCAUGGUUUGACAAUACUAUUGAAGAUGGAACUGUGAACAUAACUGGAUCUGACAUACUCAAUACACUUAAGUACUUUAAGAAUGAAUUUGGAAGACUUUUGGAUAAGAAAGGUAAGAGAAGUAGAACCGAUUUAUGUGAUGAGGAUGCAAAUUCACAAGAAGAAUAUGAAGAAGAUACAGAUCAAUGGUGGUGGAAGAAUCGAUCAAUUUUCUUCCAGUUGGCUUAUUGGAAGGAUAUAUGCUUGUCCGUCACAACACUGAUGUGAUGCAUGUCGAAAAAAACAUAUCUGAAGCAUUAUUGUCGACUCUUAUGCAAAGUGCAAAAUCAAAAGAUGGCUUGAAAGCACGAAAGGAUUUGGAAGAUAUGGGGAUCAGAACACACUUACACACCGAGGUGCGGGUAGAAAAACUUAUCUGCCUCCAGCACCUUAUUGGCUCUCAAAGGUCGAGAAAAAGAGUUUUUGCAUAUGUAAAUAUCUCAAAUUGUGUAUCAGUGGUCCUCCUGUUAUUGGUGGUUUGAAGUCGCAUGAUCAUCAUGUUCUUAUGCAAAAUCUACUUCCUGUGGUGUUGAGAGGUUUGUUGCCAAAACAACCAAGAAUAACAGUUACUCGUCUAUGCAACUACUUCAAUAGAUUAUGGCAACAUGUCAUUUAUCCAGAGAAGCUAAUUGCCUUGGAGGCUGAAGUUGUGGAAACAAUAUGUCAGAUACUAGAUUGGAGUUCAACUGAUGAUGUUAUUGUUGGGGAAAGAGAAUUUUGUUUUACUGAACCAACAUACAAGAUUGGUCGUAUAACACUUGGUCCUAACGCAAAAACUGUUAUUGUGACGUUUGUAUCAGAAAAAUGCAUUUUCCUGGAGGCCUACACAAACCAUUACCUCACUUGGGCAAGUUAUGGGAUAUAAAAUUGCAUGACCUACCGAUAAUUUGAUAUUGGAGAAUAGUGACUCCGCAACUGAAAAUAAGACUUCUAGCCUCCACGAUAAUUUCUUAACUUAGUUUUUGAUUUAUUAUAAAAUUGUGUAAUUUUGAAGCUCACUCAAUAGGUUACUAAUAUAUAUGCCUAAAUUCAUAGGAUAUA